UAGGGAAUCUUCGGCAAUGGGGGGAACCCUGACCGAGCAACGCCGCGUGAGUGAAGAAGGUUUUCGGAUCGUAAAGCUCUGUUGUUAAGGAAGAACGAGUGUGAGAAUGGAAAGUUCAUACUGUGACGGUACUUAACCAGAAAGGGACGGCUAACUACGUGCCAGCAGCCGCGGUAAUACGUAGGUCCCGAGCGUUGUCCGGAUUUAUUGGGCGUAAAGCGAGCGCAGGCGGUCAAUUAAGUCUGAUGUGAAAGCCCCCGGCUCAACCGGAGAGGGUCAUUGGAAACUGGUUGACUUGAGUGCAGAAGAGGAGAGUGGAAUUCCAUGUGUAGCGGUGAAAUGCGUAGAUAUAUGGAGGAACACCAGUGGCGAAGGCGACUCUCUGGUCUGUAACUGACGCUGAGGCUCGAAAGCGUGGGUAGCAAACAGG
rnacentral:rRNA from 1 species